CUUCAAUAAAACUGAAAAGGUGACAAUGAUUUAUCUCUGUCUCAACACACAGAGAUAAAUAUUUGUCACCUUUUCAGUUUUAUAGAAGCUU